rnacentral:ribozyme from 16 species
UCAUUCUUUUCCUUUUUCCUUUUCUUUUCCCUUUUCUUUUUCUUUUCUUGUCGUUGGGUUAUGAGAGGAUUUUUGAGAAAAACGCGUAAGGUGGCACAGCAAAAAUAAUCAGAUACGA